UACGUAGGGUGCGAGCGUUAAUCGGAAUUACUGGGCGUAAAGCGUGCGCAGGCGGUUAUGCAAGACAGAUGUGAAAUCCCCGGGCUUAACCUGGGAAUGGCAUUUGUGACUGCAUGGCUAGAGUGUGUCAGAGGGGGGUAGAAUUCCACGUGUAGCAGUGAAAUGCGUAGAUAUGUGGAGGAACACCGAUGGCGAAGGCAGCCCCCUGGGACAACACUGACGCUCAUGCACGAAAGCGUGGGGAGCAAACAGG
rnacentral:rRNA from 1 species